rnacentral:rRNA from 1 species
GAUGAACGCUAGCGGCGUGCCUAAUACAUGCAAGUCGAGCGAACAGACGAGGAGCUUGCUCCUCUGACGUUAGCGGCGGACGGGUGAGUAACACGUGGAUAACCUACCUAUAAGACUGGGAUAACUUCGGGAAACCGGAGCUAAUACCGGAUAAUAUAUUGAACCGCAUGGUUCAAUAGUGAAAGACGGUUUUGCUGUCACUUAUAGAUGGAUCCGCGCCGCAUUAGCUAGUUGGUAAGGUAACGGCUUACCAAGGUAACGAUGCGUAGCCGACCUGAGAGGGUGAUCGGCCACACUGGAACUGAGACACGGUCCAGACUCCUACGGGAGGCAGCAGUAGGGAAUCUUCCGCAAUGGGCGAAAGCCUGACGGAGCAACGCCGCGUGAGUGAUGAAGGUCUUCGGAUCGUAAAACUCUGUUAUUAGGGAAGAACAAAUGUGUAAGUAACUAUGCACGUCUUGACGGUACCUAAUCAGAAAGCCACGGCUAACUACGUG